rnacentral:lncRNA from 1 species
UGGGUACACACAUGUGGUUAGCCCAAAGAUGAUGCCUAGUGUCUUCCUCAAUCUCCCAAACACUCCCCACCAUAUAUAUCGAGGCAGGGUCUCACUUGAACCUAGAGCUAUCCCAUUUGGCCAGUCUAGCUAUCCUGCUCACUCGGGGGAAAUCUCCUGUCUCUCUUUUCAGUCACUGGGGUUACAAAGUGGGUCUCCACGCCCGUCACGUUUAUGUAGAUGCAACUCUAAUCCUCAUGGGAGCAUGGCAAAUGCUCUACCCGAUGAACCCUCUAUCCAACUUCACCAUGUCAAUUUUAGCAUGUUUAUUUACAUGCAGUUCACAUGCUAUCUAAGUAUGUGUGGUGACUAACGCAGUUCCCAUACUGUCUAAGCAUGUAGGGUGGUUGAUUUUCACUGUCGGUUUGACUAGGUUUAGAAUCGCCAUGGCAACUACAUCUCUGGAUAAGUCUAUGGUGGUUGU